GCCCAAUAAAUAUCUCAUUAACCUAACACAAGAAAACCCUAGCCGUCAGUCUUCUCCUCUUCCCAUCUUCGUCUCUAUCUCUCUGCUUUUCUCUCACGGUUACAAACCCUUAUGCAUUCUCCUUCCCCGAUCUCUCUCUGUUUCCUCUCACAGUCACAAACCCUAACUACUUCACUUCUGCUUCUAUUAUCUCUUUAUGAUUUCUCUUUCAACCACAAACCUUUUUUCAUAUGUAAUUUUUGAAACUUAAUAUCAUUAUAAUCUUCUUUUUAACUAACAAAUGUUUAUUUUGUAGUUUGCAGGUUUAUCUUUAUCAUUCGCUAUCAUCUUUUUUCCUGCAGUUGGAUGGAUUCAAGGCUACAUUAGAGAAAUUUUAUACGUUUUAUAUCAGUAAUCAAAAGGUAAACAAAAGAUUGGUGUAAGUUGUUGUGUUUGAAACAUGAUUACUAAACAUCCUUGCAGAUGCCUCCAUUGACAACAACAAUACUGCAAGGGAUAUGUGGCCUCUUUGGUAUAGUUAAAGCAAAAAUGUAUACCAUGAGUUUUCUUAUAGGGAACUUAUGAACAUGAGGAAACAGCGGACUUAUGAACUUGUGUAGAAGCCGGAAGGAAAUGCACUUAGGAAUGAAUAAGAUCAUUUAAAGAUCUUAGUAUUUGUGUUUCUGAUUUUUUAAUUUUUAAAGGACUUAAAAUGGACUGAAUUUUAUUGAUAUACUCUGUUAUAAUUUUUCAUUUAUCUUACUGAUUGUGAGGUAUCUCACUUUUUUAUGGAUUAAGUGAUUAAAGUCAUUUAUUGACAUUUACAUUA